rnacentral:rRNA from 1 species
GGGCCCGCACAAGCGGUGGAGCAUGUGGUUUAAUUCGAUGAUACGCGAGGAACCUUACCAGGGCUUAAAUGUAAGUUGCAUAGAUCAGAGAUGGUCUUUUCUUCGGACUACUUACAAGGUGCUGCAUGGUUGUCGUCAGCUCGUGCCGUGAGGUGUCAGGUUAAGUCCUAUAACGAGCGCAACCCCUGUCGUUAGUUGCCAGCAAGUUAAGUUGGGCACUCUAGCGAGACUGCCAGUGCAAACUGUGAGGAAGGUGGGGAUGACGUCAAAUCAUCACGGCCCUUACGUCCUGGGCUACACACGUGCUACAAUGGCCGGUACAGAGAGCAGCCACUACGCGAGUAGGAGCGAAUCUAUAAACCUUAUCUCAGUUCGGAUCGAAGUCUGCAACUCGACUUCGUG